rnacentral:rRNA from 1 species
AUUGAACGCUGGCGGCAGGCUUAACACAUGCAAGUCGAGCGGGGUGAUGGUGCUUGCACUAUCACUUAGCGGCGGACGGGUGAGUAAUGCUUAGGAAUCUGCCUAUUAGUGGGGGACAACAUCUCGAAAGGGAUGCUAAUACCGCAUACGUCCUACGGGAGAAAGCAGGGGAUCACUUGUGACCUUGCGCUAAUAGAUGAGCCUAAGUCGGAUCAGCUAGUUGGUGGGGUAAAGGCCUACCAAGGCGACGAUCUGUAGCGGGUCUGAGAGGAUGAUCCGCCACACUGGGACUGAGACGCGGCCCAGACUCCUACGGGAGGCAGCAGUGGGGAAUAUUGGACAAUGGGGGGAACCCUGAUCCAGCCAUGCCGCGUGUGUGAAGAAGGCCUUAUGGUUGUAAAGCACUUUAAGCGAGGAGGGGGCUCUUUUGGUUAAUACCCAAGAUGAGUGGACGUUACUCGCAGAAUAAGCACCGGCUAACUCUGUGCCAGCCGCCGCGGUAA